UACGUAGGGGGCUAGCGUUGUCCGGAAUCAUUGGGCGUAAAGCGCGUGUAGGCGGUUCGGUAAGUCCGCUGUGAAAGUCGGGGGCUCAACCCUCGGAUGGCGGUGGAUACUGUCGGACUAGAGUACGGAAGAGGCGAGUGGAAUUCCUGGUGUAGCGGUGAAAUGCGCAGAUAUCAGGAGGAACACCGAUUGCGAAGGCAGCUCGCUGGGACGUUACUGACGCUGAGACGCGAAAGCGUGGGGAGCAAACAGG
rnacentral:rRNA from 1 species